UACGAAGGGGGCUAGCGUUGUUCGGAAUUACUGGGCGUAAAGCGCGCGCAGGCGGUCUUCCAAGUCAGUGGUGAAAGCCCAGGGCUUAACCCUGGAAUUGCCUUUAAGACUGCAUCGCUCGAAUUGUGGAGAGGUAAGUGGAAUUCCGAGUGUAGAGGUGAAAUUCGUAGAUAUUCGGAAGAACACCAGUGGCGAAGGCGACUUACUGGACACAUAUUGACGCUGAGGUGCGAAAGCGUGGGGAGCAACAGG
rnacentral:rRNA from 1 species